CCUACGGGAGGCAGCAGUGGGGAAUAUUGCACAAUGGGGGAAACCCUGAUGCAGCGACGCCGCGUGAGUGAAGAAGUAUUUCGGUACGUAAAGCUCUAUCAGCAGGGAAGAAAAUGACGGUACCUGACUAAGAAGCCCCGGCUAACUACGUGCCAGAAGCCGCGGUAAUACGUAGGGGGCCAGCGUUAUCCGGCUUUACUGGGAGUAAAGGGAGCGUAGACGGCAGCGCAAGUCUGGAGUGAAAUCCCAUGGCUUAACCAUGGAACUGCUUGGGAAACUGUGCAGCUAGAGUGCAGGAGAGGUAAGCGGAAUUCCUAGUGUAGCGGUGAAAUGCGUAGAUAUUAGGAGGAACACCAGUGGCGAAGGCGGCUUACUGGACUGUAACUGACGUUGAGGCUCGAAAGCGUGGGGAGCAAACAGGAUUAGAUACCCUUGUAGUC
rnacentral:rRNA from 1 species